GGGGCGGCGCUAAGAGGGCGGGGCCUGGCAGGAGCUGCCACCCGCGGCCUGUGGGGAGCCCAAUGCCCGCCCGCCCGUCUCAGGCUCUGCGGGGCUCGGCCCGGCUCCCGGGCGGCGGGAGGGCGACAGGCCCGGGCGAUACGGGCCCGUGUCAGACCAAGUCCCUGACACGCCGGUGGGUGUGAACCCGCCCCGGCCGCCCCCUGCCCGCGAGCCGCUCCCGGCCGGGUCCGAGCUCCCAAGGGCCGAGGCAGUGGAGCCCGGUGCUGGGGGUUGUUUGGAGAAGACAACACCACCUCUGAUCUGGACAAUCGUUACUACAAAAUAUAAAGAGAGCUCUUUGCCACAAGUUGUGCUGGGAUCUGGAUUUGGUAGAAAGCAUUUUGGUUUGAAAAACCAUUUGUCACUCAGAAUAGGUUAAUAGGCUACGGCCAUGAUUUUGCUUAUGAUGUGGCCAUGAAGAAAGUAGUAGGUUCCUUUGUCUGCCUGUAUUGUAUUUGCAGCUCUCCCAAUAUGUCUGUGACUUUUAGUAACAUGCUGAUUUCUCCGUCUUCCAGAUCAUCAGUGAAAAUGUUAAACAAAAUGAGACCUGACACUCGUCCUGGUAGAAUCACUAGAUAUCUGCUUCAUACAUGACCAUUUAUUAUUUUCCUGUGUUUAUAGUUCUGUCAGUUUUCAAUCUUCAUGAUUGAAAUAUCCAAACUGAUUCCAAUUAUUUUUCUAUUAAGAUUUUAUGAGGCACAGUAUCAAAUUCUUUACUAAAAUCCAAAUAUAUUACAUCAUAUCUGAUCCCUUCACCCAUUAAUUUUUGCAAUUCUGUCAGAAAAGAGCAAUCACAUUUGUCUGGCAAGAUUUAUAUUUUAUAACCUCCCAGUGCUGUUUAUGUCUCAUGACUGUUACCUUUCAGAUGUUUAGUGAUUUUUUUAAAAUGAAAAUAUCUUUUAUUAUUUCACUAAGGACUUACAGGAGGGUAAUUGGGGGAUCUCUUUUCCUUCUUGUUUUGAAGACUGGUACUGAGUUCGUUGUAUUCCAGUCUUCCGGUACCUCUCCACUUCAUGAUCUAUUAAAAAAAUUGACAAAAUGUUUAUGUUCAUCCUUUAACAGUUUAUAAAACAUGUAAUCUGAAUUUGCUAACUUCACAUUGUAAAUUUACAAGUAUCCCCCCAUACCUGCUAUUUAUCAAUAGGUGUUUUUACAAAGACUUCCUAAUUUUCAAAACUCAUUUUCUCAUUCUAGGUUUUAAAAUAUUCUGCAUAUCACUGUCAUUUUCAAGAGUUUAUUAAACUGUUUUUAUCAAGGAUGUGUUCUUGUCUCCUUUGGUUUCUCUUCAGAUUUUUGGUAUUAGCUUCUCUGUUUGUCACUUCUGUUGCUAUCCAGUAGGUAUCCCCAUUCAGGCCUUAGCUUAUUUUAUCUCAUACUUACUUUUAUUGUCCAGGAUCAGGCCCAUUAGCUAAGCUGCGUCAGAGUCCCAUGACUGGAACAGAAUGAGUUGCUACAAGUCAUAGUUGAAGGACAUUGACAAAUCCGUAUGGCUGUUGCAGUCAGGACUGAACUGUAUUGGGUUUAGGAUUAUAAUACGAUAGGGUGGUCUGAAUCAGGAUUAAGGAAUGUCACCAGACUUUGAUAGGAGAAGCUUGCAGAGCACUUGCCUGCUUUGCAUCUGGGUUUGGCCAUUGGUACAAGUCUUUCCCUGCCAAGAACUUUGAUGGAGGAGUAGGGUAUGUUAUUGGAUUUGGUUAAUUAUUGGGUUUGUCUUGUAAAUCUCUGAUACUAUUUCCUAAUGAAGUAUUUAGCUCUGUAGUGUAUUAACCUGUUAGCAGUACAACAGCUAACUGCAAUGCAGUGGAACACAACUAAAUCUGUUGUAUUCAAAACAAUACAUAUGUGGUGUUAUUUGUCAAUAUGGAUCUUGGAUUUGCAGCUUGCAUUACUUGCUGGUGGAAUAUGUGAGAGCUAGGACCUUUUUUUAAGGGUAAAAGCUCUUUUGAGUGCAACAGUUUAUACAAAGCAUGUAGAGGCAUAUUGAUUCCUACUCUACAGCUACACGGAAAGCUAGGUAGAAAUAUUUAGGAGCAUAAUUUUUGCUUUGCCUAUUAGAAGAGUUACAUAGUCCUUUACAAAUUACAUUUGAAAGGUUCAGUUUUGUGUGAAAAACAACUUGUUCUGGUUGGUAGUAUUUAACAGUUAAAAUGGAUUAAAAUACUAACUCAGGAUUAUUUUCGUUUUUUUCUUUUUAGAUAAAUUAAGUUUUAAUGAUAGGUUUUGUCCAGAAUCAUUUGUCUUUAGCCACAUUACUGGAGUGUACAUCCAGUUUCUGAAAGCUGCAAAAUUGGCCAUUAGUCUGUACAAACACAGCAUAAGGGGUUUUUAGGCUUUGUGGAAGGACACUGAACACAAAACUAUGAUUUAGCAACAAUGGGCUGUUUGCUCUUCUCACUGAAAAGCUGAAGCUGAAAAAAAAAAAAGCAGGCUUGAAUCCUUUGGUCUUUAA